rnacentral:rRNA from 1 species
UGGACAAUGGGGGCAACCCUGAUCCAGCCAUGCCGCGUGAGUGAUGAAGGCCUUAGGGUUGUAAAGCUCUUUCGUCAGGGAAGAUAAUGACGGUACCUGAAGAAGAAGCCCCGGCUAACUUCGUGCCAGCAGCCGCGGUAAUACGAAGGGGGCUAGCGUUGUUCGGAAUUACUGGGCGUAAAGCGCACGUAGGCGGACAUUUAAGUCAGGGGUGAAAUCCCAGGGCUCAACCCUGGAACUGCCUUUGAUACUGGGUGUCUUGAGUACGAGAGAGGUGAGGGGAAUUCCCAGUGUAGAGGUGAAAUUCGUAGAUAUUCGGAAGAACACCCGUGACGAAGGCGUCUCACUGGCUCGUAACUGACGCUGAGGUGCGAAAGCGUGGGGAGCAAACA